UAAUUUUAAAAUUAUACUGAUGCAAAUUAACAAAAUU
rnacentral:sRNA from 1 species